rnacentral:pre_miRNA from 1 species
AAUGUACUUCCUUCGUCCCAAAAUUCUUGUCUUAGAUUUGUCUAAAUACAGAUGUAUCAAGUCACAUUUUAGUAUUAGAUACAUUCGUAUCUAGACAAAUCUAAGACAAGAAUUUUGGGACGGAGGGAGUAAUUG